UGGGGAAUAUUGGACAAUGGGCGCAAGCCUGAUCCAGCCAUACCGCGUGGGUGAAGAAGGCCUUCGGGUUGUAAAGCCCUUUUGUUGGGAAAGAAAUCCAGCUGGCUAAUACCCGGUUGGGAUGACGGUACCCAAAGAAUAAGCACCGGCUAACUUCGUGCCAGCAGCCGCGGUAAUACGAAGGGUGCAAGCGUUACUCGGAAUUACUGGGCGUAAAGCGUGCGUAGGUGGUCGUUUAAGUCCGUUGUGAAAGCCCUGGGCUCAACCUGGGAACUGCAGUGGAUACUGGACGACUAGAGUGUGGUAGAGGGUAGCGGAAUUCCUGGUGUAGCAGUGAAAUGCGUAGAGAUCAGGAGGAACAUCCAUGGCGAAGGCAGCUACCUGGACCAACACUGACACU
rnacentral:rRNA from 1 species